AGAGGUGGAGUUAAACCUGCAAGGUUAUUAUUGCAUUCUCUCAAUAACUGCAAUAAUUACCUUGCAGAUUUAACUCUACCUCUAAUGGCUU